AGUGAAGUGAUGAAGCAAAGCAUGAGGGUAAAAUGGAGUGAUGUUGCAGCUAGGGAAUAUGAAUGAUUGUGCACAUGGUAGAGAAAGGAAAGGGAGGUGGAAUGAUGCAACAAAUGAGUCAAUUGAGGGAACAUGGAUGAUGAUGCACGGCAUAGGAAUCCAAAUGGAGUGCAAUGGUGGUGCACGGCAAUGAUGGAAAGGUGAAUGGUGGAGUAACACCCCUUUGUGGCUAAGCUUUUUGUCCUUUUUACAUUAAUUCUUCUUUCUCUUUAACACAUUCCUAGCCUCUUUCGUCUUCAAUUUCGUCCAUCCACCUUGCUCCAUGCAUGUGCUAUUCAUUCCAAGCCCAAAACUGCUCCAAAAUGCACCAAAAUGCAUCUUAUUGCUUCAUAAGGCCUAUGGACCUACAAACACAUGAAAAUAGCUUAAAAUACAUAAUUAACUAAGAAAUAACAACAUAAAUGCAUGAGAACAAGCUAACCCAGUCGCAUAAAUAUGCUCCUAUCAAAAUCCCCCACACUUAGCUUUUGCUAGUCCUCGAGCAAAACAAAACAAACAAAACAAACAAAACACAAUCUAGACCUUCCAACAUUUGCCUCAGGGAUUUUUAAUGAAACAUGACAUGUUAAAAAUCAUCAUUCCCACAAAUUUUGGUUAUCUUUACGCUUGAGCACAUACUUAAUCACAGUCACCACUUACUAGUUCACAAUUAACCAAUUAAAACGAUGUUUUGAAUGUAGUAACAUGCCUUAGAGAAUUUUCUCAAUUUCUUACAAGAUACUCUCUAUUUUCACACACAUUUUCUGACUACACACUUUACACUAGUAUAUGUGAGAAGAUUAAUGUAAACACGAAAGACUAGGACUCACAUAUGUUAUAACAAAGAAAGCAAUUUUCUGGAGUUAUUAAGCAUGUUUAGAUAUGAUCUCAUGAAUGGAAUGCUACUAUCUAGAUGUGAGAACCAAUGACACCAUAUGCUCAUACCAAUUUCGAACUCCACAAAUUGAAACACACAACACUCAAGAUUGAAGUCAAGGGUUGUAACAGGGCUUGGGGGUAAUGGCUAAUAAAGAAAGGAUAGGUAUAACAAACGUUCUUAAAGCGAUAGCAAGCAAAGCAAUGAAAUAGACACUUGGAAUUCACUUUAGAAUGCAGAAUCAACUUUUAAAUACAAAGGGAAGAUUCAUGCAACACUUAGGGCCGAAUUCAAUGUUUUGAACCAUUUUUUAACAAACUUUUUUCUUUUCACUCUUUUUUUUGUUUUUCUUUCUUUCUUUUCUACCCAUGCCUUAUUAAGGACUUUGGAACACACACACACACACACAAGAAUCACUUCCCCCACACUUGCUUUCUGCAAUACAUUAAUAAAAAGAGAGUUCAUUUUAAGUCAUGCUUUACUAUGCUUCAAGAACAAGGGUAUGGAUGGUCCUAAAACUAGGCUAGGUAAGGAUAGUGUGGAUUAACAAAGAACAUAGGCUUAACAAGGCUCAACGGGGUUAAACUUAAACACAUAAUGAAAUAGGGGCACUGCAAUUUGGCUUUGGUGGUCACUACACAACUUCAUCUUGAAUAUGUGUUAUGCAAAUCAAUAGCAUGCUUUGAAUGAAAUAGGCAUGAGUUCUAGCAUUUGGAACUAAAUGAUGAAACGCCUCCUAAGUAGUAACCAAGCAAAGAAUAAUGAGAUCACGCAACGACUUUAGAAAACAAUGAUGCAAAGAUUAUUAACUCUCCAAAUAAACGUUUAGGCUCAAGUCUCACAAGGUUGUAGCGUUCAUUUGAGUUCCUUCCUUUAAGCAUGUUACAAAAACUGAUUUUUCCUUUAUGAUUGCGUGUGAAUUCAUAAAUUAUAACCACAACCAAGCAUACACCAAAGAGUAAAUCAAAUUUUCAUCCAUGUUUAUAACUCUCUUUAACAGUCAUGUAAUUAAAAACCAAAUCCUCAUCAUUGUGUUGGAAGGUACCCUAAGACACAAAUAAACACACAAAAACAACUCUUUUUGGGUUUUUCAAAACAAUUUUUCAAAUUUUUAUGAGAUUUUCAGAUUUUUAUGUCAAAACACACUAAAACACUCCAAAACAGCUUAAAAACACUUAAAAACAGCAAGGAACAAUACUAGAAGUAAUGGGUGAUAAACUCCUACGAAUUUCAUGCAAAACAAUGGUUACCCCCCCUCC
rnacentral:lncRNA from 1 species